AAAUUGAAGAGUUUGAUCAUGGCUCAGAUUGAACGCUGGCGGCAGGCCUAACACAUGCAAGUCGAGCGGUAGCACAGAGAGCUUGCUCUCGGGUGACGAGCGGCGGACGGGUGAGUAAUGUCUGGGAAACUGCCUGAUGGAGGGGAUAACUACUGGAAACGGUAGCUAAUACCGCAUAAUGUCGCAAGACCAAAGUGGGGACCUUCGGGCCUCAUGCCAUCAGAUGUGCCCAGAUGGGAUUAGCUAGUAGGUGGGGUAACGGCUCACCUAGGCGACGAUCCCUAGCUGGUCUGAGAGGAUGACCAGCCACACUGGAACUGAGACACGGUCCAGACUCCUACGGGAGGCAGCAGUGGGGAAUAUUGCACAAUGGGCGCAAGCCUGAUGCAGCCAUGCCGCGUGUGUGAAGAAGGCCUUCGGGUUGUAAAGCACUUUCAGCGGGGAGGAAGGCGUUAGGUUAAUAACCUUGGCGAUUGACGUUACCCGCAGAAGAAGCACCGGCUAACUCCGUGCCAGCAGCCGCGGUAAUACGGAGGGUGCAAGCGUUAAUCGGAAUUACUGGGCGUAAAGCGCACGCAGGCGGUCUGUCAAGUCGGAUGUGAAAUCCCCGGGCUCAACCUGGGAACUGCAUUCGAAACUGGCAGGCUAGAGUCUUGUAGAGGGGUAGAAUUCCAGGUGUAGCGGUGAAAUGCGUAGAGAUCUGGAGGAAUACCGGUGGCGAAGGCGGCCCCUGGACAAAGACUGACGCUCAGGUGCGAAAGCGUGGGGAGCAAACAGGAUUAGAUACCCUGGUAGUCCACGCCGUAAACGAUGUCGAUUUGGAGGUUGUGCCCUUGAGGCGUGGCUUCCGGAGCUAACGCGUUAAAUCGACCGCCUGGGGAGUACGGCCGCAAGGUUAAAACUCAAAUGAAUUGACGGGGGCCCGCACAAGCGGUGGAGCAUGUGGUUUAAUUCGAUGCAACGCGAAGAACCUUACCUGGUCUUGACAUCCACAGAACUUUCCAGAGAUGGAUUGGUGCCUUCGGGAACUGUGAGACAGGUGCUGCAUGGCUGUCGUCAGCUCGUGUUGUGAAAUGUUGGGUUAAGUCCCGCAACGAGCGCAACCCUUAUCCUUUGUUGCCAGCGGUUCGGCCGGGAACUCAAAGGAGACUGCCAGUGAUAAACUGGAGGAAGGUGGGGAUGACGUCAAGUCAUCAUGGCCCUUACGACCAGGGCUACACACGUGCUACAAUGGCAUAUACAAAGAGAAGCGACCUCGCGAGAGCAAGCGGACCUCAUAAAGUAUGUCGUAGUCCGGAUUGGAGUCUGCAACUCGACUCCAUGAAGUCGGAAUCGCUAGUAAUCGUAGAUCAGAAUGCUACGGUGAAUACGUUCCCGGGCCUUGUACACACCGCCCGUCACACCAUGGGAGUGGGUUGCAAAAGAAGUAGGUAGCUUAACCUUCGGGAGGGCGCUUACCACUUUGUGAUUCAUGACUGGGGUGAAGUCGUAACAAGGUAACCGUAGGGGAACCUGCGGUUGGAUCACCUCCUUACCUUAAAGAA
rnacentral:rRNA from 1 species